rnacentral:rRNA from 1 species
UACGUAGGGUGCAAGCGUUGUCCGGAUUUAUUGGGUUUAAAGGGUGCGUAGGCGGCCCUGUAAGUCAGUGGUGAAAUACUCCAGCUUAACUGGAGGGGUGCCAUUGAUACUGCAGGGCUUGAGUUAAGUUGAAGUUGGCGGAAUUGACGAUGUAGCGGUGAAAUGCUUAGAUAUCGUCAAGAACACCGAUAGUGAAGACAGCUAACUAAACUUUUACUGACGCUGAGGCACGAAAGUGUGGGGAUCAAACAGG